rnacentral:rRNA from 1 species
GGGGGGGGGUGCUAUACAUGCAAGUUGAGCGCUGAAGGUUGGUACUUGUACCAACUGGAUGAGCAGCGAACGGGUGAGUAACGCGUGGGGAAUCUGCCUUUGAGCGGGGGACAACAUUUGGAAACGAAUGCUAAUACCGCAUAAAAACUUUAAACACAAGUUUUAAGUUUGAAAGAUGCAAUUGCAUCACUCAAAGAUGAUCCCGCGUUGUAUUAGCUAGUUGGUGAGGUAAAGGCUCACCAAGGCGAUGAUACAUAGCCGACCUGAGAGGGUGAUCGGCCACAUUGGGACUGAGACACGGCCCAAACUCCUACGGGAGGCAGCAGUAGGGAAUCUUCGGCAAUGGACGAAAGUCUGACCGAGCAACGCCGCGUGAGUGAAGAAGGUUUUCGGAUCGUAAAACUCUGUUGGUAGAGAAGAACGUUGGUGAGAGUGGAAAGCUCAUCAAGUGACGGUAACUACCCAGAAAGGGACGGCUAACUACGUGCCAGCAGCCGCGGUAAUACGUAGGUCCCGAGCGUUGUCCGGAUUUAUUGGGCGUAAAGCGAGCGCAGGUGGUUUAUUAAGUCUGGUGUAAAAGGCAGUGGCUCAACCAUUGUAUGCAUUGGAAACUGGUAGACUUGAGUGCAGGAGAGGAGAGUGGAAUUCCAUGUGUAGCGGUGAAAUGCGUAGAUAUAUGGAGGAACACCGGUGGCGAAAGCGGCUCUCUGGCCUGUAACUGACACUGAGCUCGAAAGCGUGGGGAGCAACAGGAUUAGAUACCCUGGUAGUCCACGCCGUAAACGAUGAGUGCUAGAUGUAGGGAGCUAUAAGUUCUCUGUAUCGCAGCUAACGCAAUAAGCACUCCGCCUGGGGAGUACGACCGCAAGGUUGAAACUCAAAGGAAUUGACGGGGGCCCGCACAAGCGGUGGAGCAUGUGGUUUAAUUCGAAGCAACGCGAAGAACCUUACCAGGUCUUGACAUACUCGUGCUAUUCCUAGAGAUAGGAAGUUCCUUCGGGACACGGGAUACAGGUGGUGCAUGGUUGUCGUCAGCUCGUGUCGUGAGAUGUUGGGUUAAGUCCCGCAACGAGCGCAACCCCUAUUGUUAGUUGCCAUCAUUAAGUUGGGCACUCUAACGAGACUGCCGGUGAUAAACCGGAGGAAGGUGGGGAUGACGUCAAAUCAUCAUGCCCCUUAUGACCUGGGCUACACACGUGCUACAAUGGAUGGUACAACGAGUCGCGAGACAGUGAUGUUUAGCUAAUCUCUUAAAACCAUUCUCAGUUCGGAUUGUAGGCUGCAACUCGCCUACAUGAAGUCGGAAUCGCUAGUAAUCGCGGAUCAGCACGCCGCGGUGAAUACGUUCCCGGGCCUUGUACACACCGCCCGUCACACCACGGGAGUUGGGAGUACCCGAAGUAGGUUGCCUAACCGCAAGGAGGGCGCUUCCUAAGGUAAGACCGAUGACUGGGGGAAGUCGUAACAAGAGCCUCGGC